rnacentral:rRNA from 1 species
CCUACGGGUGACAGCAGUGAGGAAUAUUGGUCAAUGGGAGAGAUCCUGAACCAGCCAAGCCGCGUGAGGGAAGACGGCCCUAUGGGUUGUAAACCUCUUUUGUCGGAGAACAAAACCCGGGACGUGUCCCGGACUGCGUGUAUCCGAAGAAAAAGCAUCGGCUAACUCCGUGCCAGCAGCCGCGGUAAUACGGAGGAUGCGAGCGUUAUCCGGAUUUAUUGGGUUUAAGGGGUGCGUAGGCGGUCCGUUAAGUCAGCGGUAAAAUUGCGGGGCUCAACCCCGUCGAGCCGUUGAAACUGGCCGACUUGAGUGGGCGAGAAGUACGCGGAAUGCGCGGUGUAGCGGUGAAAUGCAUAGAUAGCGCACAGAACUCCGAUUGCGAAGGCAGCGUACCGGCGCCAGACUGACGCUGAGGCACGAAAGCGUGGGGAGCGAACAGGAUUAGAUACCCCUGUAGUC